rnacentral:rRNA from 1 species
CAUGUUUGUUUGGAGUUAUAAAGAAUUUAACCUGCCCCCUGAUUAACUAUUAAUUAAAGGGCCGCAGUAUUAUAACUGUGCAAAGGUAGCAUAAUCAUUAGGUUUUUAAUUGAAAUCUCGUAUGAAUGGUUGGACAAAAGAAAGACUCUCUUUAUAUUAAGUUUUGAAUUUAACUUUUAAGUGAAAAGGCUUAAAUAUUCUAAAGGGACGAUAAGACCCUAUAAAACUUUACAUUGUUAUUAAUUUUGAUUGAAUUUAUGAAAUAAAAAUUUUAUUUGAUUAUUUGUUAUGUUGGGGAGACAUAAGUAAAAUAUUUUUUUAACUGCUUGAUAGUUAUACAAUUAUUAGUGAAUAAGUAGAAGAUCCUUUUUAAGAUUAGUAGAUUAAGUUACUUUAGGGAUAACAGUGUAAUUUCUUUUGAGAGUUCUUAUCGAAAAAGAAGGUUGCAACCUCGAUGUUGAAUUAAAAUAUCUAUAUAAUGGAGAGGUUAUAUAAGAAGGUCUGUUCGACCUUGAAAAUUUUACAUGAUUUGAGUUCAAACCGGUGUGAGCCA